rnacentral:misc_RNA from 1 species
AACGCACAUUGCGCCUCUCUUAAAACAGGGAGGCAUGCCUGUCUGAGCGUCAUUUAAACCCAUGAACAUUGUUCGUGUUGGGUUUCGCCUUUGGGCGUUACCUUAAAGUGAUGGGUCUAGAUUAGCGGACGAGAUCCUUCAAGGGCUAAAACGCAAAUCAGACCAGAUAAUUUUCUGAUUUUGACCUCAGAUCAGGUAGGGAUACCGCCUGAACUUAA